AAAGAUUUUACGAUAUCCUGUCGCGUUCAAGCAUUUAUUGUUCUUUAAUUAAGCGUAAAAUGCCUAAGCGUAGCAAAAAAACUGAUCAAAAGAAUAGUGUUGGUGGAAAUAAAAAGAAGCAGCAGGGAGCAGCAAUCUAGUUGGAUCUAGUGAUUUUAGUGGCUUUGCUACGACCUCAGCACUGCCUCAAUCAGUAAAACCAAAUCGUUUCACCAUAUAUACUCCGCUACCGAAUCAAGCUUGUUCAUCCAAUCGAUCUGGUAAAUUGAAUGAUCCUUUGAUUGUUCUGGAACGAUGUUUUCCUGUCUGAAAAAGACUUUUACGACUGAUCCAAAUAUUAUCGUAACCGUGAAGCAACUGGAAGAUAUAGACAGAGAAUCGAAGAGCGUUGGACAGUUUGUGCAGAAUCUGGCUUUGCUGAUGUACGGAGCUGAAGCCUUGCGAGAAAUGUCGGUUACUGGUCGCAAAUACGCACAAUCUACAGAUAAAUUAAUAAGACCGGCAAUAGACGAAGCUAAGCUGCAAUUUAUCUACAAAAAAGCUCAAGAGAGAGUAGGUUUACAUAAAGGAAUGAGUAAUUUUUCGAUCAUCUCUCUUGAAGCUAAUCGCGCAGUAAUCAAUAGAGCACUCGCAGAAAUAAUAGCUAAUUUGAGGAAGGCAGCAAUCUACGCAUCCAAUCGUAACAUUCGAAACUAGCAGGUUUUGAAGACAUUCAAAAUAUUUUUAAAGUGCUAUAUCGUU